rnacentral:rRNA from 1 species
UUUCAUUUAAAAUUUAGUUAGAAUUUUAUUUUUUAGUUAAAAAGCUAAAAUAUAUUCAAAAGACGAGAAGACCCUAUAAAUCUUGAUUAUUUAGUAAUUUUUAGUUUAUUUUGAUUUUUUUUAUUAUAAAUUUAUUAAUUAAUUUUAUUGGGGUGAUAUUAAAAUUUAAAUAACUUUUAAUAAUUUUUAUCAUUUAUUUAUGAUUAAGUGAUCCAUUAUUAGUGAUUAGAAAAUUAAGUUACUUUAGGGAUAACAGCGUAAUUUUUUUGGAGAGUUCUUAUCGAUAAAAAAGUUUGCGACCUCGAUGUUGGAUUAAGAUUCAUAUUUAAAUGUAGAAGUUUAAAUAUAAAGUCUGUUCGACUUUUUAUUCUUACAUGAUCUGAGUUCAAACCGGUGUAAGCCAGGUUGGUUUCUAUCUUUGAUUUGGUAAAAUAUUUUAGUACGAAAGGAAUUAAUAUUUAUUUUAAAAAAAUUAAU